GUACCGGCGCGGGCCUGCCAUCCUUCCGGGGCGCGCGCCUACCCUUCGCUGGGCCGGGCGCGCCACCCGGAUCGUUUACUUUGAAAAAUUAGAGUGUUUAAAGCAGGCGUCGCCGCUCUGAAUACAUUAGCAUGGAAUAAUAGGAUAGGACUUGGGUUCUAUUUUGUUGGUUUCUAGGACCGAAGUAAUGAUUGAUAGGGACAGUUGGGGGUGCUGGUAUUCAGCGGCCAGAGGUGAAAUUCUUGGAUUCGCUGAAGACCAACUUAUGCGAAAGCAUUCACCAAGGAUGUCUUCUUUAAUCAAGAACGAAAGUUGGGGAUCGAAGACGAUCAGAUACCGUCGUAGUCUCAACCAUAAACUAUGCCAACUAGGGAUGGGCGAACGUUGCUUUUCCGACUUCGUCCGCACCUUAUGAGAAAUCACAAGUGUUU
rnacentral:rRNA from 1 species